ACUGAUCAAAGCUCUUGUUUCGAGCAUUAACAUCACAAACAUUUUGACAUUGAAGAGAGAGAUAGAGGAGGCGAAUCAUCCUUCCGUCCAUUUUUUUUGAUUACUUCUCUAAGGAUUAGAAGAUGGAUAAAAUCAUUACACUGCUGAUAUGAAUUUGGAUCCAAUAUCUAAAUAAACAGCCAUGUUCUAAAUUUUUUUAAAUAUAAAAAUCAUUUUCCAGAUCCUGUCAGAAGGUGGUUUGAACUACUGGGUGGUGAACUUUGUAGCUGCCUUUUGAUGAAGACGAGAAGUGGCGUUCCUCGCCACCAACCAUCAGCUUUCUGUUGCACCGUAGUCCUUUUGGCUCAUCUGCAUGGUAUCGUUCUGAUUCCCAAACAGUUUGCUCAACUUUCUCGUCCUCGAAACUCUUUAACGUUGGUUAAAAUCUAUAAUUAGAAAGAGCUGUGAUUUAAAAGAAAAGAAAACAGCAGAUGAAAUCUUGUCAGAUGAUGAUUUGGUACAAUGGGGUUUGUAAUAUUUGAGUUUCUUUAAAUUAGUUUUUUUAUUUGCAGCUUUUUCCCAGUUUUCUUAUUUAAAAAAGAAAAAAAUGUUGUAAAGAAUAAUGCAUUAUUUGAAUAAAGAAGAGAUCUGCACUCUG